AAUCAACGCUGGCGGCGUGCCUAACACAUGCAAGUCGAACGCGAAAGUGGAGCAAUCCAUGAGUAGAGUGGCAAACGGGUGAGUAACGCGUGGGCGACCUACCUUCGAGUGGGGAUAACAUUCCGAAAGGAGUGCUAAUACCGCAUGACAUCCUUUGUUUAGAUACAGGGAGAUCAAAGCCGGGGAUCGUAAGACCUGGCGCUUGAAGAGGGGCCCGCGUCCGAUAGCUAGUUGGUGAGGUAACGGCUCACCAAGGCUUCGAUCGGUAUCCGGCCUGAGAGGGCGGACGGACACACUGGGACUGAGACACGGCCCAGACUCCUACGGGAGGCAGCAGUGGGGAAUUGUUCGCAAUGGGCGCAAGCCUGACGACGCAACGCCGCGUGGAGGAUGAAGACC
rnacentral:rRNA from 1 species